GGCAGUCCUACUCCCCAGCGGCAGUACAUCUCACAGGGAGAGUAGACAACUGGUCCCCCUCCCCAGCGGCAGUGUAUCCUACAGGGAGUGGAGACAAUCGGUCUCCCUCCCCAGCAGCAGUGUGCCUCCCAGGGAGCAGAAGGUGUCGUCUUUCCUCCCCAGCGGCAGUAUGUUUUAUCGGGAGAGGAGACAACCGGUCUCCCUUCCCAACAGCAACCAGAGGUAACCGAGAUAGGGGACCUCAUGGGCUGGUCCUUGGAGGACCCCCAAACGGCAGGUGGAGAUGGGAUCGAGGUCUCUCCACCGGCCCUACAG